GUGGGGAAUAUUGGACAAUGGGCGAAAGCCUGAUCCAGCCAUGCCGCGUGUGUGAAGAAGGUCUUCGGAUUGUAAAGCACUUUAAGUUGGGAGGAAGGGCAGUAAGUUAAUACCUUGCUGUUUUGACGUUACCGACAGAAUAAGCACCGGCUAACUUCGUGCCAGCAGCCGCGGUAAUACGAAGGGUGCAAGCGUUAAUCGGAAUUACUGGGCGUAAAGCGCGCGUAGGUGGUUUUGUAAGUUGGAGGUGAAAUCCCCGGGCUCAACCUGGGAACUGCCUCAAAAACUGCAUGACUAGAGUACGGGAGAGGGUAGUGGAAUUUCCUGUGUAGCGGUGAAAUGCGUAGAUAUAGGAAGGAACACCAGUGGCGAAGGCGACUACCUGGACUGAUACUGACACUGAGGUGCGAAAGCGUGGGGAGCAAACAGGAUUAGAAACCCGAGUAGUCC
rnacentral:rRNA from 1 species